GACGAACGCUGGCGGCGUGCUUAACACAUGCAAGUCGAACGGAAAGGCCCUGCUCUUGUGGCGUGCUCGAGUGGCGAACGGGUGAGUAACACGUGAGUAACCUGCCCUUGACUUUGGGAUAACUCUAGGAAACUGGGGCUAAUACCGGAUAGGAGCUACUGCUCCAUGGUGGGGGUUGGAGAGUUUCGGCGGUUGGGGAUGGACUCGCGGCUUAUCAGCUUGUUGGUGGGGUCGUGGCUUACCAAGGCUUCGACGGGUAGCCGGCCUGAGCGGGUGACCGGCCACAUUGGGACUGAGAUACGGCCCAGACUCCUACGGGAGGCAGCAGUGGGGAAUAUUGCACAAUGGGCGGAAGCCUGAUGCAGCAACGCCGCGUGCGGGAUGACGGCCUUCGGGUUGUAAACCGCUUUCGCCUGUGACGAAGCGUGAGUGACGGUAAUGGGUAAAGAAGCACCGGCUAACUACGUG
rnacentral:rRNA from 1 species